rnacentral:lncRNA from 1 species
GAGCUGGAGCACUAGCUUUCUGUGGAGGAGCAGUUGCCACUGGACUAGAAAGGAUGUCAAGGGACCCUUUAAUCCACACAUGGAAUAAUUGCCAAUUUGCCACAUCUCACAUUUAGUCAUGGAGGGUCUAGAGAUCUUGUGGAAAGAUAGGGAACCUGUGAUCUAGACUGUUUUUAAGACCACCUCCAUUUCUGUGACUCUACAAGCUGAGAAUGGGUCUGUUAAACCGUGGAAGUUGGAGGAGGGUGAUGCCUGAGAGACAGGAGACCUGGAUUCUAGUCACGGCUCUGUUAGUAACUUGUGAUGUGAUCUCGGGCAAAUCUCUCCCUUGCCAUAGACCUUCAGUUUCUUCCUCUUUGUAGUGGAGGGGCUGGACCAGAUGGUCUCUAAGCUCCCUUCCAGCCUUGACAUUCUAUGCUUCUAUAGUUCCAUGAUUCUGAUUCUAAGGAAGGUUCUGGGUUGGUCUCCUUCCUGAUGGGCUCUGGCCCGUGUCCUUGCGUGUUUCCCCUCGGCAAUCAGGGGGCUGUCCUGGGCUGCAGGGAACAGCCCUACCAUGGGGAAGAGCACUAUCCUGGGGCUCACCACAACACCGCAACACCACAACGCUACUACAGAGACCCCCGUGGGGAGCAAUGCCGCCGCAGAGAACAAUGGCCCCCCGGGCAACAGCUCCACUCUAGGGAACAGUACUACCGUGGAGAACACUGGCCCCCUGGGCCGCAACACCUUGGGCCACAGCACCGCCUCCGGGACCCAGCGUAUCUUGAGGAACAGCGCAAUCACAGGGAGCAAUGCCGCUACAGAGACCCAAACCUCGCAGAUCAACAGUAUCUUGGGGAACAGUAUCGUCGCAGGGAUCCAUACUAUCCUGGGGAACAAAACCCAGGGGAGCAACAGUAUCGUGGGGAGUACUACCGCUGCAGGGACCGAUGUCCUGGGGAGCAAAACCUCAGAGAUCUACGUUUCCUUGGGGAGCCGUCUCACCAUCGGGACUCAGGCCUCGCCGAGCAACAGUAUCUUGGGGAGUAUCACCACCGACAGCCAAACCCUGGGAAACAGCGCUAUCUGGGGGAACAGUUCCACCACCGAGAACCAAGCCAUGGAGAACAACGUUACCUCGCGGAGCAUUUCCAGCCCCGGCAAGCAAGCCCCACAGAACCUCGAUACCUUGGGGAACAACGCCAUCACCCCGGAGGACGUUUCAAUGGGGAACGCCUUCUCGGAGAGCGGCUCCCUGGGGAACAGCGGUUCACUGGGGACCAAUCCCUGCUUGGGGACCAACGUCACCGCAGAGACCAAAACCCCGGAGGAUAUCAUCCCGGAGAACAAUACUACCGCGGGGAACAGUUCCGCCACAGGGAACAGCAGUGCCACCCUGGGGAACAGUCUUACCGCAGAGAACCACGACAUGUCGGGGAACAAAAUUUCCGAGAACGUCACCCUGGGGACCGUCUCCACAGAGAACAAUGUAUCCCUGGUGAUCAGCGAAGACACUUUGGGGAGCGGUACUACCACAGGGACUCAAGUCUGGAGGACCAGUGUUACCAUGGGGAACGCCAACAUAGAGAGCAAAGCUUUGGGGAACAAUACGGUCCCUUUGGAGGAGGACGCUUUGUGCUUGGAUGCUGGGAUAAACGAAACUGCGCUAUGUGGUGGUGAGCCUAGCUCUGGAGAAAGUACAGAAAACAUCAGCUUAAGGGAGUUUAUCUGCAACAAGACAGCCCAAGGGUCACUGCUGACCAGAGAAGAACUAGUGAUGGUGCUGGGCAGGGCCCAGUGUAAGGAUCCAGGGAUGGCACAGACUCUGACCCUAAUCUUUAGCUACUCCAACCUCACAGAACUCCUGGGCGCGUUUGGCCAGCUAAAUGACUCUGCCUGCCAUUUAGCUACUCUGAAGGCUUUGUGGACCAUUAUGCUCCAGCACCAACUGGAUUUUAAGGAUACCCUGUCCCUGCGCUGGUGGUUCCAGGUUCUCCUCUGGCCCUUUCUGGUAUCAUUGUCCAGAGAAGAUCUACGAUGCUUUUCACUUGGUGCCCUGGACUGUGACCAAUACCAGGCCAUGUAGGUUUACCAGGCACUGGACCCCUUUUCCAUCUUCCCAGAACCUAGAAGGGGAGGCCAAUCAGAAUCAACAACUUUAUUUCCCCUGAUAUGGAAGGUGUUUGGGCUUUAUUUUCUCAAAACAGAGAACCAGAUGCAGAGCCCUGGGUUGUGGCUGGCAGGUGGAGAGGAGAAAUGUCCUUAAGAAAGCCCUAAGUCUGUGGCUGUCACCCUUGGGAAUCCCUAGGUCUGGACAGGUUGAAAUAUAGCCGUCACCCUCAGGAAAUUCAGUCUCAGUAGAAGACAUUUCUCCCAUCCUUGGGAAAUAUUUAGUCUGAGGAGAGAUCUGCAUUCUUUUUCCCCUUCCCCACCAGGAAUCCUUCAGCCUAGCUCCCAUAAGUCUGAAGGGGAACCAUGGUCUCUGUCUUCAUGACUGAAGGAGAUAACAUCUCCCCUUCCUGAUGGACCACUCAAUCUGAGAGGGAGACAAAAUCCCCCCCCAUCAGGGAGCCUCCAGUUUAGGGGGACACUACCUCUGCCAUCAGGAAUCCCCCUUCCAGAGGGAGUGAUGUGGUCCCUGCUCUUGGUGAGCACCCAGGCUGAGGAGGAGACCUUGCUCCUCACCCUUAGGGAGCCUCUGUUAUGGACAGAGGGAGUCCCCUUUCUCCCCUUCAGAAAGGGGGAGACACAGCCCUUGCUUCCAAGGAGCCCCCAGUCUGAGGGAUGAGACACUGUCCUCAUAUCUGAAGGGGAGAUAAUGGCCUCCAUUCUCCAUUCUCUGAAGGAGACACAUGGCCCUUGGCCUCAGGGAGCCCCCUUCCUAAGAGGAAAGACCAAACCUCAGUCUCCGAUAAACUCACACAGUGAGGAACUGCAUCACCAGAAGAAGGAUUGGCAGAACUUGGAGGCCUCCAUUACUGGGCACAUAAACUGUUUUCCCAAUCAGGUUCCCACUCUAAAGCCUCAGGCAUCCUGUCUCAUCCUCACACACAUUUCUAUUAAAGGCUUAACUUUGUCUCUUAGCU